rnacentral:rRNA from 1 species
UACGUAGGGUGCAGGCGUUAAUCGGAAUUACUGGGCGUAAAGCGUGCGUAGGCUGUUUGGCAAGUUGGGAGUGAAAUGCCAGGGCUCAACCCUGGAACUGCUUUCAAAACUGCCAGACUCGAAUCCGGGAGAGGAUAGCGGAAUUUCCAGUGUAGUAGUGAAAUACGUAGAUAUUGGAAGGAACACCAGUGGCGUAAGCGGCUAUCUGGACCGGCAUUGACGCUGAGGCACGAAAGCGUGGGGAGCAAACAGG